rnacentral:rRNA from 1 species
CCUACGGGGCGCAGCAGUGAGGAAUAUUGGUCAAUGGACGCAAGUCUGAACCAGCCAUGCCGCGUGCAGGAAGACGGCCCUACGAGUUGUAAACUGCUUUUGUACGAGGGUAAACGCAGAUACGUGUAUCUGUCUGAAAGUACCUUAAGAAUAAGGAUCGGCUAACUCCGUGCCAGCAGCCGCGGUAAUACGGAGGAUUCAAGCGUUAUCCGGAUUUAUUGGGUUUAAAGGGUGCGUAGGCGGUGGGGUAAGUAAGAGGUGAAAUCCCGAGGCUCAACUUCGGAAUUGCAUUUGAUACUGGGAGGCUAGAGUACAGUUGCGGUAGGCGGAAUGUGUGGUGUAGCGGUGAAAUGCUUAGAGAUCAUGCAGAACACCGAUUGCGAAGGCAGCUUACUAAGCUACUACUGACGUUGAUGCACGAAAGCGUGGGGAGCAAACAGGAUUAGAUACCCCUGUAGUC